rnacentral:rRNA from 1 species
UACGUAGGGGGCAAGCGUUAUCCGGAAUUAUUGGGCGUAAAGCGCGCGCAGGCGGUUUCUUAAGUCUGAUGUGAAAGCCCACGGCUCAACCGUGGAGGGUCAUUGGAAACUGGGGGACCUGAGUGCAGAAGAGGAGAGUGGAAUUCCACGUGUAGCGGUGAAAUGCGUAGAGAUGUGGAGGAACACCAGUGGCGAAGGCGACUCUCUGGUCUGUAACUGACGCUGAGGCGCGAAAGCGUGGGGAGCAAACAGG